GUUCUUAUAGUUGAAUGACAACAGUGGCUUUUCGAGCCACUAGUCCUGAUUAGAGUUCGGGUGAGAAUU
rnacentral:tRNA from 1 species